rnacentral:rRNA from 1 species
CCCUUAGAUGUUCUGGGCCGCACGCGCGCUACACUGAUACAUUCAACAAGCCUAGCCUUGACCGAGGGGUCCGGGUAAUCUUUGAAACUGCAUCGUGAUGGGGCUAGAUUAUUGCAAUUAUUAAUCUUCAACGAGGAAUGCCUAGUAAGCGUGAUUCAUCAAAUCGCGUUGAUUACGUCCCUGCCCUUUGUACACACCGCCCGUCGCUCCUACCGAUUGAAUGUGUUGGUGAGGAGCUCGGAUUGGCAGCAGUUGGUGGUUCGCCACCGGCUAUUGCUGAGAAGUCCUCCAAACCGCCCCAUUUAGAGGAAGGAGAAGUCGUAACA